rnacentral:rRNA from 1 species
UGCAAGUCGAACGAAGUCUUCGGACUUAGUGGCGCACGGGUGCGUAACGCGUGGGAACCUGCCUUUAGGUACGGAAUAACAGUUAGAAAUGACUGCUAAUACCGUAUAAUGUCUUCGGACCAAAGAUUUAUCGCCUUUAGAUGGGCCCGCGUUGGAUUAGGUAGUUGGUGGGGUAAAGGCCUACCAAGCCGACGAUCCAUAGCUGGUCUGAGAGGAUGAUCAGCCACACUGGGACUGAGACACGGCCCAGACUCCUACGGGAGGCAGCAGUGGGGAAUAUUGGACAAUGGGGGAAACCCUGAUCCAGCAAUGCCGCGUGAGUGAUGAAGGCCUUAGGGUUGUAAAGCUCUUUUACCAGGGAUGAUAAUGACAGUACCUGGAGAAUAAGCUCCGGCUAACUCCGUGCCAGCAGCCGCGGUAAUACGGAGGGAGCUAGCGUUGUUCGGAAUUACUGGGCGUAAAGCGCGCGUAGGCGGUCUAUUAAGUCAGGGGUGAAAUCCCGGGGCUCAACCCCGGAACUGCCCUUGAAACUGCUAGACUAGAAUCUUGGAGAGGCGAGUGGAAUUCCGAGUGUAGAGGUGAAAUUCGUAGAUAUUCGGAAGAACACCAGUGGCGAAGGCGACUCGCUGGACAAGUAUUGACGCUGAGGUGCGAAAGUGUGGGGAGCAAACAGGAUUAGAUACCCUGGUAGUCCACACCGUAAACGAUGAUAACUAGCUGUCCGGGCACAUGGUGCUUGGGUGGCGCAGCUAACGCAUUAAGUUAUCCGCCUGGGGAGUACGGUCGCAAGAUUAAAACUCAAAGGAAUUGACGGGGGCCUGCACA